GAUCAUGGCUCAGGACGAACGCUGGCGGCGCGCCUAACACAUGCAAGUCGAACGAGCGAGAGAGAGCUUGCUUUCUCGAGCGAGUGGCGAACGGGUGAGUAACGCGUGAGGAACCUGCCUCAAAGAGGGGGACAACAGUUGGAAACGACUGCUAAUACCGCAUAAGCCCACGGGUCGGCAUCGACCAGAGGGAAAAGGAGCAAUCCGCUUUGAGAUGGCCUCGCGUCCAUUAG
rnacentral:rRNA from 1 species